rnacentral:rRNA from 1 species
UUUUUAUGGCUGUCGUCAGCUCGUUUCGUGAGAUGUGGGGUUAAGUCCCGCAACGAGCGCAACCCCUACAAUUAGUUACUAACAGGUUAAGCUGAGGACUCUAAUUGAACUGCCUACGCAAGUAGAGAGGAAGGAGGGGAUGACGUCAAGUCCUCAUGGCCCUUACGCCUAGGGCCACACACGUGAUACAAUGGCGACUACAGAGGGCAAAGCCGCGAGGCAGAGGAAAUCCCUUAAAAGUCGUCUCAGUCCGGAUCGGAGUCUGCAACUCGACUCCGUGAAUUUGGAAUCGCUGGGAAUCGCGGAUCAGCA